rnacentral:rRNA from 1 species
ACCAGACUCCUACGGGAGGCAGCAGUGGGGAAUCUUCCGCAAUGGGCGCAAGCCUGACGGAGCAAUGCCGCGUGAACGAAGAAGGUCUUCGGAUUGUAAAGUUCUGUCCUUAUCGAAGAGAGGGUAUAGAGUGAAAAAUGAUAUACUAGGACGGUAGAUGAGGGGGAAGCCCCGGCUAACUACGUGCCAGCAGCCGCGGUAAUACGUAGGGGGCAAGCGUUGUCCGGAUUUACUGGGUGUAAAGGGCGUGCAGCCGGGAGUGCAAGUCAGAUGUGAAAUCCCGCGGCUCAACCGCGGAACUGCAUUUGAAACUGUGCUUCUUGAGUGCUGGAGAGGCAGACGGAAUUCCUAGUGUAGCGGUGAAAUGCGUAGAUAUUAGGAGGAACACCAGUGGCGAAGGCGGUCUGCUGGACAGUAACUGACGGUGAGGCGCGAAAGCGUGGGGAGCAAACAGGAUUAGAUACCCCUGUAUC